rnacentral:rRNA from 1 species
AUUGAACGCUGGCGGCAGGCCUAACACAUGCAAGUCGAACGAGUGGCGGACGGGUGAGUAAUGUCUGGGAAACUGCCCGAUGGAGGGGGAUAACUACUGGAAACGGUAGCUAAUAACGCAUCCCCUCGGAUGUGCCCAGAGGGGCUGAGCUUGUAGGUGUGGUAACGGCUCACCAAGGGGGCGAGCCCUAGCUGGUCUGAGAGGAUGACCCGGCAUACUGGAACUGAGACACGGGCCAGACUCAUACGGUAGGCAGCAGUGGGGAAUAUUGCACAAGGGGCGCAAGCCUGAUGCAGCCAUGCCGCGGGUAUGAAGAAGGCCUUUGGGUUGUAAAGUACUUUCAGCGGGGAGGCGUUACCCGCAGAAGAAGCACCGGCUAACUCCGUGCCAGCCGCCGCGGUAAUUC